AGGUGUGUGUGCAUGUGCAUGUGUGUGUGCGCGCACGUGCACACACACACACACACACACACACACACACACACACACACACAC
ensembl:miRNA Gm23882 predicted gene, 23882